rnacentral:tRNA from 1 species
GCCCUUUUGGCGUAGUGGUAGCGCGUCGCACUUGUACAAGAGCCUGGCGGUUCGAAUGUAAUGCGAAGGUCACUAGUUCAAUCCUGGUAGGGGGCA